rnacentral:rRNA from 1 species
CAAUAGCGUAUAUUAAAGUUGUUGCAGUUAAAAAGCUCGUAGUUGGAUUUCUGGUGGGAGCGAUCGGUCUGGCGCUUAGCGCGAGUACUUGCAUCGUCUCCGGCCAUCCUUGGGGAGAGUCUGUCUGGCAUUAGGUUGUCGGGCAGAGGAUCCUCAUCGUUUACUGUGAAAAAAUUAGAGUGUUCAAAGCAGGCUUAUGCUGUUGAAUAUAUUAGCAUGGAAUAAUAAGAUAGGACUUUGGUACUAUUUUGUUGGUUUGCGCACCAAAGUAAUGAUUAAUAGGGACAGUUGGGGGUAUUCGUAUUCCGUUGUCAGAGGUGAAAUUCUUGGAUUUACGGAAGACGAACUACUGCGAAAGCAUUUACCAAGGAUGUUUUCAUUA